UACGGGGGGGGCAAGCGUUGUUCGGAAUUACUGGGCGUAAAGGGCGCGUAGGCGGCGUGUUAAGUCAGCUGUGAAAUCUCCAAGCUUAACUUGGAACGGUCAGCUGAUACUGAUGUGCUAGAGUGCAGAAAGGGCAAUCGGAAUUCUUGGUGUAGCGGUGAAAUGCGUAGAUAUCAAGAGGAACACCUGAGGCGAAGGCGGGUUGCUAGGCUGACACUGACGCUGAGGCGCGAAAGCUAGGGUAGCAAACGGG
rnacentral:rRNA from 1 species